rnacentral:rRNA from 1 species
UAGGGAAUCUUCGGCAAUGGACGAAAGUCUGACCGAGCAACGCCGCGCGUGUGAAGAAGGUUUUCGGAUCGUAAAACUCUGUUGUUAGAGAAGAACAAGGACGUUAGUAACUGAACGUCCCCUGACGGUAUCUAACCAGAAAGCCACGGCUAACUACGUGCCAGCAGCCGCGGUAAUACGUAGGUGGCAAGCGUUGUCCGGAUUUAUUGGGCGUAAAGCGAGCGCAGGCGGUUUCUUAAGUCUGAUGUGAAAGCCCCCGGCUCAACCGGGGAGGGUCAUUGGAAACUGGGAGACUUGAGUGCAGAAGAGGAGAGUGGAAUUCCAUGUGUAGCGGUAAAAUGCGUAGAUAUAUGGAAGAACACCAGUGGCGAAGGCGGCUCUCUGGUCUGUAACUGACGCUGAGGCUCGAAAGCGUGGGGAGCAAACAGG